rnacentral:tRNA from 1 species
GAAUUUAGGUUAAACCGCUAAACCAGGGGCCUUCAAAGCCCCAAACAGGACUGACUCCUAAUUUCUG